AUGCUGUUCCUCCCUCCUCAAUCGCAGGCCGCGGCCGCCGCGUGCACGACGCUCUGCUGCCUGUGCGGCGUGCCGAUGCCGCCCAACGCGGCCAACACCUGCGCGCCCUGCCUCCGUGCGCGCGUCGACGUCACGGAGGGCGCGCCGCGCCACGCCGCCGUGGUGCACUGCCCGUCGUGCUCCUCUUACCUGGAGCCCCCGCGGCGCUGGACGCGCGCCGCGCCGGAGUCGGCCGAGCUCUUGCAGCUCCUCCUCCGCCGCGUCCAGCGCCCGAUCCAGCGCCUCGGCGUCACCCUCACCGCCGCCGACUUCGUCUUCACCGAGCCGCACUCCAAGCGCAUCAUGCUCCGCCUCCGCCUCCGCCGCGAGGUCCUCCCCGGCCGCGGCGUCGCGCUGGAGCGGGACCACGCCGUGGAGUUCACCGUCCACGACCGCCUCUGCGACCCCUGCGCCCGGGCCCGCGCCGACCCGGACCAGGACCAGUGGUGCGCCGUCGUGCAGCUGCGGCAGCGCGCGUCGCACCGCCGCACGCUGCUCCACCUCGAGCAGCGGCUGGCCGCCCUCGGCGCGGCCGGUUCGGCGACCCGCGUCGACGUAACCGGUGCCGGCGGUAUCGACUUCUUCUUCGCGUCCAGGUCACACGCUGCCGGCCUUGUCGCCCUCAUCGCCUCCCUCGCGCCGUCACGCGUGGCGGACGCCGCGAGGCAGCUCGUGUCGCACGACACCAAGAGCAACACGUACCGCCACCGGCACGCCUUCUCCGUGGAGCUCUGCCCGGUGUGCCGCGAUGACCUCGUUUUCCUUCCGAGGGAGGCGGUCACCGACACGCUGGCCCUCCUCGACGCCUCCACCCACCGCGUUGUCAACCUCGGCAUCAAGGACUACGACCGGCACAGGUUCGAGCCCUCGCUCACUAGCCGCCAGCUCGUGGAGUACGUCGUGCUGGAUAUCGACCCAUCGCCGGCCACCGGCGACGCCACGGCCGCCAGGUUCGGGUACCGGACUACGUACGUGCAGGUGGCCCGCGCAUCGGAGCUGGGCAGGACCGACGCCAUCGUCACCGUGAGGACGCACCUCGGGCACCUCCAGCGCCCCGGCGACCGUGCGCUUGGCUACGACCUCCGUGGCGCCAACGCCAACGACCUGGAUGGGCAGAGCCACUGCUCGCCGGACGCGGUGCUCGUCAAGAAGAUCUACGAGAAGGGCGGCGACGGCGACAGGAUUCAGGAGGACGGCGGCAGGAGCAACGACCAUGGCGUCGCCUGCAUCGACGAGAUCACAAUGGGGAUCGGAGGCAUUGAUCUGGACCCGUGCGACGAGGUGGAGCUUGAUGAAUUGCUUGAGGACCUCAGAAUCUGA
rnacentral:rRNA from 1 species